rnacentral:rRNA from 1 species
GGCGAACGGGUGAGUAACACGUGAGCAACCUGCCCUAGGCUUUGGGAUAACCCUCGGAAACGGGGGCUAAUACCGAAUAUUACCGUUGACCGCAUGGUUGGUGGUGGAAAGUUUUUCGGCCUGGGAUGGGCUCGCGGCCUAUCAGCUUGUUGGUGGGGUGAUGGCCUACCAAGGCGACGACGGGUAGCCGGCCUGAGAGGGCGACCGGCCACACUGGGACUGAGACACGGCCCAGACUCCUACGGGAGGCAGCAGUGGGGAAUAUUGCACAAUGGGCGGAAGCCUGAUGCAGCGACGCCGCGUGAGGGAUGACGGCCUUCGGGUUGUAAACCUCUUUCAGCAGGGACGAAGCGUAAGUGACGGUACCUGCAGAAGAAGCGCCGGCCAACUACGUGCCAGCAGCCGCGGUAAGACGUAGGGCGCGAGCGUUGUCCGGAUUUAUUGGGCGUAAAGAGCUCGUAGGCGGCUUGUCGCGUCGACUGUGAAAACCCGCAGCUCAACUGCGGGCCUGCAGUCGAUACGGGCAGGCUAGAGUUCGGUAGGGGAGACUGGAAUUCCUGGUGUAGCGGUGAAAUGCGCAGAUAUCAGGAGGAACACCGGUGGCGAAGGCGGGUCUCUGGGCCGAUACUGACGCUGAGGAG